rnacentral:snoRNA from 14 species
CUCGCCCCUAGAAGCACUGCACUUGUGGCUGCUGUGUCACAUGUGUGUCAGUAGGUGGCAGAGAGGAGAGAGGCUACGUCUAGGCUCAGUGUUCUGACCUCUGAAUAUAUGAAUGAUUAGUAACCUAACAUUU